rnacentral:tRNA from 1 species
GGGCGAUUAGCUCAGGGGGAGAGCGCUGCCUUCACACGGCAGAGGCCGCUGGUUCGAAACCAGCAUCGCCCA